GGUAGUUUAGUUUAUAUUUAAAACAAAUGUUUUGAAAACAUUUAAAGAGAGAUAAAAUCUCAACCUCCA
rnacentral:tRNA from 1 species